UAGGCAUCUUCAGGUUAUCUUUUCUAGAUGGAUGCGAGAGGGACCAAGAUCUGCAUAAGGCGUUCCCGUUCACAGGAGCGAGUUACAGAGUAAGAUGGGGGCUCCCAUCUUACUCUGUAUCUCGCUCCUGUGAACGGGAACGCCUUAUGCAGAUCUUGGUCCCUCUCGCAUCCAUCUAGAAAAGAUAACCUGAAGAUGCCUAAAUAAGGCGAAACGCGUCGUUAAAAAAUAAAAUACUAAAAUUGCAACCAGGACUAUUUUUAACCAACAGUGACACAAAUGC